rnacentral:rRNA from 1 species
UUUGAUGGCGACCGGCGCACGGGUGAGUAACACGUAUCCAACCUGCCGAUGACUCGGGGAUAGCCUUUCGAAAGAAAGAUUAAUACCCGAUGGCAUAGUUCUUCCGCAUGGUAGAACUAUUAAAGAUUUCGGUCAUCGAUGGGGAUGCGUUCCAUUAGGUUGUUGGCGGGGUAACGGCCCACCAAGCCUUCGAUGGAUAGGGGUUCUGAGAGGAAGGUCCCCCACAUUGGAACUGAGACACGGUCCAA